rnacentral:piRNA from 1 species
UUGGACUGCUUCUGUGUCUCUUUAGGUGU